rnacentral:rRNA from 1 species
GAAUUCACUAGUGAUUUGGCGGCGUGGUUAAGACAUGCAAGUCGAACGAGAGAAUUGCUAGCUUGCUAAUAAUUCUCUAGUGGCGCACGGGUGAGUAACACGUGAGUAACCUGCCCCCGAGAGCGGGAUAGCCCUGGGAAACUGGGAUUAAUACCGCAUAGUAUCGAAAGAUUAAAGCAGCAAUGCGCUUGGGGAUGGGCUCGCGGCCUAUUAGUUAGUUGGUGAGGUAACGGCUCACCAAGGCGAUGACGGGUAGCCGGUCUGAGAGGAUGUCCGGCCACACUGGAACUGAGACACGGUCCAGACACCUACGGGUGGCAGCAGUCGAGAAUCAUUCACAAUGGGGGAAACCCUGAUGGUGCGACGCCGCGUGGGGGAAUGAAGGUCUUCGGAUUGUAAACCCCUGUCAUGUGGGAGCAAAUUAAAAAGAUAGUACCACAAGAGGAAGAGACGGCUAACUCUGUGCCAGCAGCCGCGGUAAUACAGAGGUCUCAAGCGUUGUUCGGAAUCACUGGGCGUAAAGCGUGCGUAGGCUGUUUCGUAAGUCGUGUGUGAAAGGCGCGGGCUCAACCCGCGGACGGCACAUGAUACUGCGAGACUAGAGUAAUGGAGGGGGAACCGGAAUUCACGGUGUAGCAA